rnacentral:rRNA from 1 species
GAUGAACGCUGGCGGCGUGCCUAAUACAUGCAAGUCGAGCGAACGGACGAGAAGCUUGCUUCUCUGAUGUUAGCGGCGGACGGGUGAGUAACACGUGGAUAACCUACCUAUAAGACUGGGAUAACUUCGGGAAACCGGAGCUAAUACCGGAUGAUAUUUUGAACCGCAUGGUUCAAAAGUGAAAGACGGUCUUGCUGUCACUUAUAGAUGGAUCCGCGCUGCAUUAGCUAGUUGGUAAGGUAAUGGCUUACCAAGGCAACGAUGCAUAGCCGACCUGAGAGGGUGAUCGGCCACACUGGAACUGAGACACGGUCCAGACUCCUACGGGAGGCAGCAGUAGGGAAUCUUCCGCAAUGGGCGAAAGCCUAACGGAGCAACGCCGCGUGAGUGAUGAAGGUCUUCGGAUCGUAAAACUCUGUUAUUAGGGAAGAACAUAUGUGUAAGUAACUGUGCACAUCUUGACGGUACCUAAUCAGAAAGCCACGGCUAACUACGUG